AUUGAACGCUGGCGGCAUGCCUAACACAUGCAAGUCGAACGCGAAAGAGGGGCAACUCUCGAGUAGAGUGGCGGACGGGUGAGUAAUACGUAGGAAUCUGCCCUAGAGUGGGGGAUAACCUGUCGAAAGACGGGCUAAUACCGCAUAUACUCUGAGGAGCAAAGGUGGCUAGCAAUAGCCUUCGCUUUAGGAUGAGCCUACGUCGGAUUAGCUAGUUGGUAGGGUAAUGGCCUACCAAGGCAACAAUCCGUAGCUGGUCUGAGAGGACGAUCAGCCACACUGGAACUGAGACACGGUCCAGACUCCUACGGGAGGCAGCAGUGGGGAAUAUUGGACAAUGGGGGAAACCCUGAUCCAGCAAUGCCGCGUGUGCGAUGAAGGCCUGCGGGUUGUAAAGCACUUUCGUUGGGGAAGAAAUGCUCAAAGAUAAUACAUUUGAGAGCUGACGUUACCCAAAGAAGAAGCACCGGCAAACUCUGUGCCAGCAGCCGCCGCCG
rnacentral:rRNA from 1 species